ensembl:lncRNA
UGAUAUUUUUCUGAUUAUGGGUUUGAAAAAACAAAUAGUUCAGCAUCUAUACAUGCUGCCUUGCAAAAUCUAUGGUACAUCUAUAUCCUGAACAAGCAGGUGAUAUCGCUUAUCAAUGCAAACUGCUGGGGAUUAAUUUCACCCCUGAUAGACAUCCACUGUAUAUUCUGGAGCAAAAGGUAUAUUUCAGUAUGCUCCUGGCACAAAGGUUGAACUGUGAAAAGUGAUGGGAGAUACUUACUCUCCUGGUUUAUGGGUUCAAGCUCAAAUGAAGAAUUGAGCAAAGUGAUUGCAGAUUUUAUAAAUAUCUGUGCACUACUGUCUAUUCCAAACAGCUUGGAAUAGCAGGGCUUUUAACAGCAAUGCAAAGGCUAAAUUACAUAGCUCAUGGCUUACAUGCAAGCUAUGGUACAAAGAGCUCAAAGGAAUUCAUGAGCCCCAAGGUUCAAAAACUGAAGGUAUAUAUGUUCUGUCACUUUCUAACUUUCUAAGACCCAAUGAGGCUUUCAUUUGGGGUCGAGGUUUUCUGUUUAUUUUCUCAGAUACAUGGAGUCCAUGGAAGAUGAUUAAGAGCAUCUGAUGGCAAGAAAAUCUGCCCGGAAGAAGGACAGAAGGCAGAGGUGUCUGGCACAGGACACCAGAAAAGCAGCACAUGGACUGUAAAGACUGCCCUAUAGAUAAUGAAAACAUCUGGUCUCCCACGUCAUGCUUCAUGCCAGCUGAUACAGACCAGGAAGAGAAGCAGACGGAAGGUGAUGGCAUCAGCUAUCUACAUGCCAGCCACAAUCCAGGCACGCUGGAGGGACACUUCUUUGGUGACUAAUAUCACUCCAGAAUAAUGACAUUACACUAUUAGAGACAUUGGCUAUUAGGCCACUGAUGGACACUUGUCAUGCUGACAUCCAUUGAGAUGGGGUACCCAGAGCAACAUCAAGUAUGCUAACUCAGAAGGACUAAAUCACACUUGUGUCUGUACAAGACACCAGAUACAUCCCACAUUCCAAAGACUUUGCGAUGGGAUUGAGAUGAAAUAGCUACAAAUUGUCUAGCUACUAAAGUAUACCUUGUAUUUUGUAUAUGAUACUGUCAAAGGGAAUUUUGUAUGCAUUAUGAAUUGUAUGCAUUGUAAAGCUACCACUUGUAUUGUAAGAAAUGCUGUUAUCAACAAGGGUAUAGACCUUGGUAUGACUCUCCAAAGAGUAGGAGAUAGAAAACUCUCAUCCAUAGCAUAGAUCUGAUAUCUCUGACAUCAAAAAUGAGGUGCUAAGCAGAAAAUGCUGCACAGACAGGUUUAAUGGACAGAUGACACUGAUGUUACUCUCAAGAAAGAAUGAGAGAUCAAGGAAAAGACACUAGGAAAUCUUUAAUCAGGAACUUGAGUUAUUGUAAGAGAUCAUUGACAUCCAGGCAAAGAUUAUGUUCCUGACAUUACAUUAAGGGCUGACUACCAUAGCAGUAGUUAAGUGUUAAUACCAUUGUUAACCAUUACUCCUGAUACCCUGUUUUUGUGGGUAAUAUCUUGAUAGGAAAAACGUCUUGCUCUCCUCCAACAAUCCCAGAAUUCAGACGGCCGCUGGAUUCGGGAUCUAUUGGCUUCCCUUUCAUAUACUGGAAGACGUUCUGGUAUAUGGAAGUAAGACCUCAUGAAAAACUGAGGGCUCUAGGUUUGACAAUUUCUGUGGACGCACAGUCAUUGUCUCUCCUAGGUGAAAAAAAUUAUUAUUGCACAAAAACAUGGAGCAAGGGCAAAGUAUAAUCUAAGUUUUACUGUUUUGGAGUAUGGAUUAAACACAUGACACAAUAGGCACAGAUAAGCGUGUAGA